rnacentral:rRNA from 1 species
ACUCCUACGGGAGGCAGCAGUGAGGAAUAUUGGACAAUGGGCGGAAGCCUGAUCCAGCCAUGCCGCGUGCAGGAAGACUGCCCUAUGGGUUGUAAACUGCUUUUAUACGGGAAGAAACCGCCUUACGUGUAGGGCUCUGACGGUACCGUAAGAAUAAGGAUCGGCUAACUCCGUGCCAGCAGCCGCGGUAAUACGGAGGAUCCAAGCGUUAUCCGGAAUCAUUGGGUUUAAAGGGUCCGUAGGUGGACGAUUAAGUCAGAGGUGAAAGUCUGCGGGCUCAACCGUAGAAUUGCCUUUGAUACUGGUUGUCUUGAAUCAUUGUGAAGUGGUUAGAAUAUGUAGUGUAGCGGUGAAAUGCAUAGAUAUUACAUAGAAUACCGAUUGCGAAGGCAGAUCACUAACAAUGUAUUGACACUGAUGGACGAAAGCGUGGGUAGCGAACGGGAUUAGAUACCCUGGUAGGCUCUG